GUUGGCAACAUUGAUGAUAAGUACCUUAUUUUACAUUUACUAUUAUUGUGUCAUUAUAUACGUUAUAAAUACAUGAUACUUUAAGUUACUGUAUCCUGCUAUAUCCUGAUCAGAAGUAAUAUAUAGUAAGAGAAAAUUUAUAGGUUGUUUCAAUUUAUUCUGUUUCAGAAAAGGUGAUUCCAAUUUGUGUGGAGAUAUUAAAGUAUGUAAAGAGCAUUCACAAAAGGCUGAAAACUUUGGGAAGAGGCAUUAUUAAUGCGGAAGAACUUAAUAUGAAUAUAUUCGAUGACAUACUUCCGAUCAAUUCUAUACAGAACCUUAAAAAGUUUGAGGAAAACAUGGAAAAUGUUGAAACGAAAGCGAAUUUUGUCGAAUUUAUGAACCAUAUUGGUGGAAAAGUGGCAAAAAUUUGGUGCAACGGUGUAUGAGCCGUUUAUUUACAAAUGAAUUCGGCAUAUCUUGUUCUUGGUGUGGUCGCGGGAAUAAUUAUCGCAUGUGCGAUUUGAAAUGCAUCUGCAUCCUAAAAGGUAUUUUAAGAGCCAGGGUGUCGACGAAUGCGACUUCGAAAUUGUAGCAAGCGAAUGGUUCCGCCUUAGCAAGCUGCGAUAUAACCGAGAAAGUAAAAAGAUAUUACUAAAAUUAAAAUUCAAGAUAAAGGCAAUCAGAGCCAAGCGCGGUAAGUGGAGCGCAACAAGCUUUAUUCAGUGAUCAAUCUUUAUAAUAGAGUAUACAAAAACCGGACGUUUCGGCUCCUUUUUUGGGCUAUCUUCAGCGCAAAACAAUUAAAAUUAGCUUAUGACAUAACGGUCGUGUGUUCUGAUUCGGAUUGUAAACAUGGUCGCAAAUAGA